rnacentral:rRNA from 1 species
GAUGAACGCUGGCGGCGUGCCUAAUACAUGCAAGUCGAGCGAACGGACGAGAAGCUUGCUUCUCUGAUGUUAGCGGCGGACGGGUGAGUAACACGUGGAUAACCUACCUAUAAGACUGGGAUAACUUCGGGAAACCGGAGCUAAUACCGGAUAAUAUUUUGAACCGCAUGGUUCAAAAGUGAAAGACGGUCUUGCUGUCACUUAUAGAUGGAUCCGCGCUGCAUUAGCUAGUUGGUAAGGUAACGGCUUACCGAGGCAACGAUGCAUAGCCGACCUGAGAGGGUGAUCGGCCACACUGGAACUGAGACACGGUCCAGACUCCUACGGGAGGCAGCAGUAGGGAAUCUUCCGCAAAGGGCGAAAGCCUGACGGAGCAACGCCGCGUGAGUGAUGAAGGUCUUCGGAUCGUAAAACUCUGUUAUUAGGGAAGAACAUAUGCGUACGUAACUGUGCACAUCUUGACGGUACCUAAUCAGAAAGCCACGGCUAACUACGUG